UCCAAUGACAUUUAUUUCCUGCAUCUCAUUUUGGAGUGGUUUUAAAUAUUAUCAGGAGAAAUUUUGCUUCACUCAUAGCCAUAUGUUGAUUUACUGUCGAACUAUUAUUGAACUUGCAAUGACUAUUGAAAAUAUGUAAAAGCCUUUAAAGGCGAGGAAGUUGAAAGGUAAAUAAGUGGAAGGUGAGGAAAUUGAGAGGUGAAAAGUGUGGAUUGUGGUACAUAUUUUGUCUGGCGGGAAGUGACCUGCAAAGCAAAGUCUAUCCGCUCGAGAUCUUGGCUACACAUUAUUCAUUGACGGAUAAUCAGAUUUUGAAAUUACAAUCAGCAGACGAAGAAAAUGUCUGCUGUCUCCAUCUCCUCUUCUUGCUCUCAUCAGCUGCAUCACUCUUCCAAAGAACUCAUCACUUCACAUUCUUUAGCCUCAAUUCAUUUUCCGCGAAAAGGGCAAAACACCAGUACUAAUUUCGACGACAUUAAUAAUGAAUGCCGUGCAAAGUCAUGUGUGAAAGCAGCUCCUCAACGUUUGAAGUGGAGGACUAGAGUUUCUUUCUUUCCAUCGUUCUCGAUCAAAGACGGAGACAUUGAGACCCUAAAGCAGGAGCUUCUCGAGGCUAUUGCCCCUCUUGAUCGCGGUGCUGAGGCCACCGCUGAAGACCAAGAGCGUGUAGAUCAGAUUGCUCGUAAACUGGAAGCAGUCAAUAAAGUAAAGGAGCCACUCAAGUCCAGCUUGUUAAAUGGUAAAUGGGAGCUUCUCUACACAACUUCCAAGUCAGUUCUGCAACCUCAGAGGCCUAAACUUUUACGCCCUAAUGGGAAAAUGUAUCAAGCGAUUAAUGUGGACACAUUGAGGGCUCAGAAUAUGGAAACUUGGCCAUUCUUCAACCAGGCCACAGCCAAUUUAGUUCCCCUCAAUACAAGAAGGGUGGCAGUUAAAUUUGACUCCUUCAAGAUUGCUGGUGUGCAAUUUGCUGUUAUAGAUGUUUGUGUAGGAUAUUUAAGUUGGCAAAAGCAACGCAAGUGGGAUGUAACUUAAACCUGGAGCAUCUGCUGUGCAUUGCUCCAUGAUCGUUUCAAGUCUUGAGCAUACAGAAAGGUUGAGAUAAUCAACUAGUCUUUUGUGGUUCACAGAUACCUAUAAUGGAACGUGGCAGUGGUCGUGGAGAGUUGGAAAUUACAUACCUUGAUGAAGAGUUACGGAUAUCCAGGGGCAACCAAGGUAACCUGUUUAUUUUAAGAAUGGUCGAUCCGUCCUACAGAGUCCCUCUAUAACGCUUACUGUAACAGUAUUACAGGGAAAAGCAUAGUCUUUUGUACCUUUUUUUUUUAUUCUGGGAGGGGUUUUUGGAGGGGGGAGGGGGGGUUUGUCACAACAAGUAUGCAUAAUUCUAGCAGAAAAAGAUUGAUUAUGUAGUCCUCAGUUAGAAUUUCAUUCUUAAUGCUCCAAUCUGUGUCCCGAGUCCUGAGUAUGGAUUCCCCCUGGCUGUGAUUGUAUGGAGCUUUCGCUGUGAUGCUCCAAUAUGUGCAAGGCAUCCAUGCUUAAUUUCUUCAAAUUAGUCCAUUUUUGCAUUUAGUUGUCUAUUUUUAGCUGA